rnacentral:tRNA from 1 species
GGGGCUAUAGCUCAGUUGGUAGAGUGCUUGCCUUGCAUGCACAAGGCCCUGGGUUCGAUCCCCAGCACCA